GCCCAGCUUGCUGGGUGGAUUAGUGGCGAACGGGUGAGUAACACGUGAGUAACCUGCCCCUGACUCUGGGAUAAGCGUUGGAAACGACGUCUAAUACUGGAUAUGACUGCCGGCCGCAUGGUCUGGUGGUGGAAAGAUUUUUUGGUUGGGGAUGGACUCGCGGCCUAUCAGCUUGUUGGUGAGGUAAUGGCUCACCAAGGCGACGACGGGUAGCCGGCCUGAGAGGGUGACCGGCCACACUGGGACUGAGACACGGCCCAGACUCCUACGGGAGGCAGCAGUGGGGAAUAUUGCACAAUGGGCGAAAGCCUGAUGCAGCAACGCCGCGUGAGGGAUGACGGCCUUCGGGUUGUAAACCUCUUUUAGUAGGGAAGAAGCGUAAGUGACGGUACCUGCAGAAAAAGCACCGGGCUAACUACGUGCCAGCAGCCGCGGUAAUACGUAGGGUGCAAGCGUUGUCCGGAAUUAUUGGGCGUAAAGAGCUCGUAGGCGGUUUGUCGCGUCUGCUGUGAAAUCCCGAGGCUCAACCUCGGGCUUGCAGUGGGUACGGGCAGACUAGAGUGCGGUAGGGGAGAUUGGAAUUCCUGGUGUAGCGGUGGAAUGCGCAGAUAUCAGGAGGAACACCGAUGGCGAAGGCAGAUCUCUGGGCCGUAACUGACGCUGAGGAGCGAAAGCGUGGGGAGCGAACAGGAUUAGAUACCCUGGUAGUCCACGCCGUAAACGUUGGGCGCUAGAUGUAGGGACCUUUCCACGGUUUCUGUGUCGUAGCUAACGCAUUAAGCGCCCCGCCUGGGGAGUACGGCCGCAAGGCUAAAACUCAAAGGAAUUGACGGGGGCCCGCACAAGCGGCGGAGCAUGCGGAUUAAUUCGAUGCAACGCGAAGAACCUUACCAAGGCUUGACAUACACCGGAAACGGCCAGAGAUGGUUGCCCCCUUGUGGUCGGUGUACAGGUGGUGCAUGGUUGUCGUCAGCUCGUGUCGUGAGAUGUUGGGUUAAGUCCCGCAACGAGCGCAACCCUCGUUCUAUGUUGCCAGCGCGUUAUGGCGGGGACUCAUAGGAGACUGCCGGGGUCAACUCGGAGGAAGGUGGGGAUGACGUCAAAUCAUCAUGCCCCUUAUGUCUUGGGCUUCACGCAUGCUACAAUGGCCGGUACAAAGGGCUGCGAUACCGUAAGGUGGAGCGAAUCCCAAAAAGCCGGUCUCAGUUCGGAUUGAGGUCUGCAACUCGACCUCAUGAAGUCGGAGUCGCUAGUAAUCGCAGAUCAGCAACGCUGCGGUGAAUACGUUCCCGGGCCUUGUACACACCGCCCGUCAAGUCAUGAAAGUCGGUAACACCCGAAGCCGGUGG
rnacentral:rRNA from 1 species